rnacentral:rRNA from 1 species
CUAACAAGGAUUCCCUUAGUAACGGCGAGUGAACAGGGAUUAGCCCAGCACCGAAGCCUGUGGCCAUUUGGUUACUAGGCAAUGUGGUGUUCAGGUCGUUCCGCAGAGGCACUGCUCCACUCCAAGUCCAGCAAUGAGUACGGUUGUACAGACUUGGCCCAUAGAGGGUGAAAGGCCCGUGGGGGUGGAGAUUCAUUCAGGUCAGUGUCUCUCUGGGUAGACCUUGGAGUCGGGUUGUUUGUGAAUGCAGCCCAAAGCGGGUGGUAAACUCCAUCCAAGGCUAAAUACUAGCACGAGUCCGAUAGCGAACAAGUACCGUGAGGGAAAGUUGAAAAGUACUUUGAAGAGAGAGUAAACAGUGCGUGAAACCGCUCAGAGGUAAACGGGUGGAGUUGAACUGCAAGCCUUGAGAAUUCAGCUGGUGAGUAUGGUUUGAGCUUGGUCAAAUUGGUUGUACUCUGGGGUCUGCUUAAUAUGCAGGUCUCUGCCUUCGGGUGGGGAUGCGCGAUCCGCUUAUCAAGGCGAUGGGCGCUCCAAAUGUAUUCGGACCUGCUUGCCAGUGCAUUUUCUCAUGGUGUUCACCACGACCGGCACUGCUGUCUGGCUGUUGUGGUUAAACCGGUCUUGCAUUGUCCUUGUGGCUUUGUUUGGUCGGGACGGCAGGUAGCUCGCUGACCAGUCUGGGGUAACCUGGACAAUUGGUCUUUGGGUGUAAUCAGCUGACCAUGAUGGUUCUGUGCGGUGUGUCGGAGACGGCGGCUUGUGGUGUGAGCGCGCGUGCCUUGUCUGCUGGCUUGUUCGGGUUUGGUUGCUAUGUUGCUUGUUCUGCAAGCCUGGCGAUGGCCUGAGCAUGUCUGGUGGGCGGUUGCGUGUGUGGCACUAAGUCCAGGGCCAAUAGUCUGUGGUGUAGUGKUARAM